rnacentral:ncRNA from 1 species
AAGCCUUUUGGACCUAGACUUGGCACUCCGGUACCGCUUGCUGUGCGGUAGCAGAGAAAACAGUCUAUGACUAGGGUGGCUGGAGUCUUUGUUGUUUGGGAAUGCAGCCCAAAGGGCGUGGUAAACUCCAUCUAAGGCUAAAUACCGGCACAAGACCAAUAGUAGACAAGUACCGUAAGG